AGUAAGGUAAGUUUGAUUUAAUUAAUUUGUCUGCAUCGCGCUGAUCGGUUGCCUAUUUGCUCAUAUUAUGUUAAUUACUAUGAUUCGAUUUUGUCUUAUACUAGAACUGUUUGAAUUUAAAGCACAAACAGUAAAACAUUAAAGGUAUGCAUGGUACACAGCGGUAAACAUGAGGUUAAAAAUACGCGAAGUAACAUUCAAACCGGGCUAUUAAAAGAAUCAAUUCGAUGUUUAAAUUUUUAAAACAAAACUUUAAAGAAGCCAAGAUGAGACGUUCUUUGCUUAAAACCAACAUAACAACAGUAACUUGUGUGUUGGAAAUGUUAGCAGCUAGCAAGUGUCUCUCUGCUAUUUUAAAUGAUACACAGACUAUAUUUUGUUGUUUAAAAGCUCAUUGCUUUAGUGCUGGUAGAUGCUGCUUAUUUUUCAAGACGGUUUUAAUAGAUUUAUAUUGAAUUGUAACAAAGCCAGCUUCACUUUGAGAGAACCUAACGAUAGAUGUUAAUUGUAAAGAAGCUUGGAGUCAUAAUAUAUUUUAACGUAACAGUUAAUAUGUUUGCUGUUCUUCAACUUCUUAAAUAUGAAGUCUAUCCAUGUUUGUGUUUACUGAGGUCAUGUACACUGUGGUCAACUUUGUGGACGCUGAAGAGGUUUUUGGGUAAAGAUGAAAGAAAUAUAAUGAAGUUACAGUGGAAGCUAAAACAUCAGACUGAUCCAGACACUGAAGAAAUUUAUGUCACUGCAAUCUGGCCAAAAUGAUGGCUCCAAAGAGAUGUCUGUCCAGAUGAGGGUGCAUCAACGUUACCUUUGCUGAAAAGUAUAUGCUUUACAAUGUAAAACCUAACAGUUAACUCAAACCAUUUAAGGAAAUCGGUUGCCUUAAACCAUUAAGUUUUUAAAAACAUACAUUUAGGUAGUGUGAAAUUAAAUAUAAGUGCAUAACUGCAUGUGACUCAAUUUGUUUAAGUUCACAGUACUCAAAUCUAUGUGUUUUAAAACUUGAAUGGUUUAAUGCAACCGGUUUUCUUAAAUGUGAGAAAUUACAGUGUUACAGUGAGAAAUGUUUGAGUAAUUCCAAGACAGAGCUCUGUGAUUGAUUCUACACUGCAAAAAAUCACUUUCUAACACUUUUUAUCUUGUUUUCAGUAGAAAAACUAAAAAUUCUUAAAUCAAGAUGUAUUUUCUUAAUGAGCAAAAUUAUCUUAGAAAAUAUGUCUAGUUUUUUGACAAAAAUAUACAAUUUAAGAUAAUUUGUGCCUAAACAAGCAAAAAUAUCUAACAAUGGGGUGAGAAAAUUGUGUUUUAAUUAAGUUUUCUUUUUUCUUAAAAACGUAAGAUUUUUUCUCACACCAUUGGCAGAUAUUUUUGCUUGUUAUAAGCACAAAUUCACUUAAAGAGUGUGUGUGUGUGUAUUUUAUUCAUUUAUUUUGUCUAAAACUAGACUUAUUUUCUUGGGUCAUUUUGUUCCUCAAGAAAAAGCAUUUUAAUUUAAAUAAUAUUUCUACUGAAAACAAGAAAAAAAUACUAUGUAAGAGUCAUUUUUUGCAGUGUAGGACUGAUUUCUUAAGAGCAAGUUUAAUAUAGUUGUUGUUCAUUUUAUUUAGAUAUUUACUACAUUACAGUGGCAGCUGGUGACGACUUUUUUUGUGAGCACUCGAUGCGAAGUUUGUCACAACAUGUAUAUAGCCCGUCAUUUGUGUGGUUCCCAAUUUCAAAAUGUGUGUUCUGCGUGUAUGUGCAUCACGUGUUUUACAUGAAGCAACAAACACAUUUUAAAAAUACAAGCAACACACAUGAAACUCCGAACACUUAUUUUGAAUUUGCAACCCUCGGAUGAGCAAUCACGUUGUUUGAAUGUAGUUUUCAUUGUUGCUUUUAUUUUGUUUUAUUUUACUCUAAUAUUGCUUUCUCUGUCUGUAUAUUUAUGAGUUUAAAUGGUAUUGUUUAUGUAUGCAACUUUUAAUAUUUGUGUAUAAUAUUAUUUUGUGAUUGUGACAAUUGUGGAUUGUUCAGUUUUUUUAUUAAAUAAACAUUUCAAACUCAAUUCAAGUUUUUAUUUUUUUUAA